rnacentral:rRNA from 1 species
GACGAACGCUGGCGGCGUGCUUAACACAUGCAAGUCGAACGGAAAGGCCCCUUUGGGGGUACUCGAGUGGCGCACGGGUGAGUAACACGUGAGUAACCUGCCCUUGACUUCGGGAUAACUUCAGGAAACUGGGGCUAAUACCGGAUAGGAAUCCUUGCUGCAUGGUGGGGGUUGGAAAGCUUCGGCGGUUUUGGAUGGACUCGCGGCUUAUCAGCUUGUUGGUGGGGUAGUGGCUUACCAAGGCUUUGACGGGUAGCCGGCCUGAGAGGGCGACCGGCCACAUUGGGACUGAGAUACGGCCCAGACUCCUACGGGGGGCAGCAGUGGGGAAUAUUGCACAAUGGGCGGAAGCCUGAUGCAGCAACGCCGCGUGCGGGAUGACGGCCUUCGGGUUGUAAACCGCUUUCAGCAGGGGCGAAGCUUGUGGUGACGGUACCUGCAGAAGAAGCACCGGCUAACUACGUG